AGAGUUCGAUCCUGGCUCAGGAUGAACGCUGGCGGCGCGCCUAACACAUGCAAGUCGAACGGUUAAAGCACCUUUUAGGUGUGUAUAAAGUGGCGAACGGCUGAGUAACACGUGGGCAACCUGCCCUCCUCUUGGGGAUAGCCUCGGGAAACCGAGGAUAAUACCCGAUACUUCAAUGUGGCCGCAUGACGACAUUGAGAAAGCUUUUGCGGAGAAGGAUGGGCCCGCGGCCUGUUAGCUUGUUGGUGGGGUAGAGGCCUACCAAGGCAAUGAUGGGUAGCUGGGUUGAGAGACCGACCAGCCAGAUUGGGACUGAGACACGGCCCAGACUCCUACGGGAGGCAGCAGUGGGGAAUCUUGCACAAUGGGCGAAAGCCUGAUGCAGCGACGCCGCGUGCGGGACGAAGGCCUUCGGGUUGUAAACCGCUUUCAGCAGGGACGAGGCGAAAGUGACGGUACCUGCAGAAGAAGCCCCGGCUAACUACGUGCCAGCAGCCGCGGUAAUACGUAGGGGGCAAGCGUUAUCCGGAUUCAUUGGGCGUAAAGCGCUCGUAGGCGGUCUGUUAGGUCGGGAGUUAAAUCCGGAGGCUCAACCUCCGUUCGCUCCCGAUACCGGCAGACUUGAGUUUGGUAGGGGAAGGUGGAAUUCCUAGUGUAGCGGUGGAAUGCGCAGAUAUUAGGAAGAACACCAGUGGCGAAGGCGGCCUUCUGGGCCAUAACUGACGCUGAGGAGCGAAAGCUAGGGGAGCAAACAGGAUUAGAUACCCUGGUAGUCCUAGCUGUAAACGAUGGACACUAGGUGUGGGAGAAUACGUCUUCCGUGCCGCAGCUAACGCAUUAAGUGUCCCGCCUGGGGAGUACGGCCGCAAGGCUAAAACUCAAAGGAAUUGACGGGGACCCGCACAAGCAGCGGAGCAUGUGGUUUAA
rnacentral:rRNA from 1 species